UGGACACAGCGACUGAAGAUGGA
rnacentral:siRNA from 1 species